GUUAAAGACUAGAAGACUGCUUAAAUUAUGUAACACACGCAUACAGGCCUGAAUCUUGCGUCGCCAUUCACGCAGACGGAAUGACGGAUGAGCUCCCAGACGGACUGACAGGGAAGACCAGGGAGGGGGUCAGGAGGUGGCGGAGCACGUCCCAGCCUCGGUCGGACAGAAGGCUGGAAAAUGCCCCCUGACAAGAAAACCUGUUCGAGUGGACUAACACGCAUAAACCCUCGCGUGUGCUCACAUACGCAUCUGUGGACAUUCUGUCGUCAACAAUCAACCUAACAUGCAUGAAUUUGAACCAUGGCAGGUAACUGGGGCAGCCGGAGGAAUCCCAGGAGUGUGGAUUCCACUUGCUCUUUGCACCGGUUUUAAACGCUGAGCCAAAAUGCUGCAAGAUACAAACACUGUUUUUUAAUGAACAAAUGCUUCAUUAUACUCAGGAUUCGUUAAUGCAAUUUCAUUUUCAAUCAUACGGGAAAAAGGC
ensembl:lncRNA